CGGUAAUACGGAGGGUGCAAGCGUUAAUCGGAAUUACUGGGCGUAAAGCGCACGCAGGCGGUCUGUCAAGUCGGAUGUGAAAUCCCCGGGCUCAACCUGGGAACUGCAUUCGAAACUGGCAGGCUUGAGUCUUGUAGAGGGGGGUAGAAUUCCAGGUGUAGCGGUGAAAUGCGUAGAGAUCUGGAGGAAUACCGGUGGCGAAGGCGGCCCCCUGGACAAAGACUGACGCUCAGGUGCGAAAGCGUGGGGAGCAAACAGGAUUAGAUACCCUGGUAGUCCACGCCGUAAACGAUGUCUACUUGGAGGUUGUGCCCUUGAGGCGUGGCUUCCGGAGCUAACGCGUUAAGUAGACCGCCUGGGGAGUACGGCCGCAAGGUUAAAACUCAAAUGAAUUGACGGGGGCCCGCACAAGCGGUGGAGCAUGUGGUUUAAUUCGAUGCAACGCGAAGAACCUUACCUGGUCUUGACAUCCACGGAAGUUUUCAG
rnacentral:rRNA from 1 species